rnacentral:rRNA from 1 species
UCAAAAUGGGAGGUAUAUUUCUUCUAAAGCUAAAUACCGGCCAGAGACCGAUAGCGCACAAGUAGAGUGAUCGAAAGAUGAAAAGCACUUUGAAAAGAGGGUUAAACAGCACGUGAAAUUGUUAAAAGGGAAGCGCUUGUGACCAGACUUGCGUCCGGUGAAUCACCCAGCUCUCGCGGCUGGGGCACUUCGCCGGCUCAGGCCAGCAUCAGCUCGCUGUCGGGGACAAAAGCUUCAGGAACGUAGCUCUCUUCGGGGAGUGUUAUAGCCUGUUGCAUAAUACCCUUCGGCGGGCUGAGGUACGCGCUCCGCAAGGAUGCUGGCA